rnacentral:lncRNA from 1 species
UAUUAUGGAGUUCUUCGCUUGAUUGAUUACUCCUUUUUAUUACUAACUUUUGGCAGUGAAACAGAUUUUUUAUCUGAUUCCUUCCUAUAAAAUUUUCUUUGACAAUGAUAUCAUUCUGAGACUUCUUUAUAAAAAUUCAAAAGUUUCAAGCAUUUAUUAGCCAGAUUCCUGGACUACUAACAACGGUGCUGCUGGUAGUGAUAGCAGAUCAACUCUGAGCAAGUAGUGGAAUUUCUUUGAUGGAUUCGUUUGGUACGAAACAUAUGGAAUAUACAACACUCUCAAGAGGAGGCAAAACACAAGCAAUUGGUCAUUGAUGCCACUCGGCGAGAUAGAAGUCGCCAACUAAUAUUUCAGGUUGAAGCAUAUUCCGCGAUGACCACCGCAAUGGAACUCAGUCU